AGACUUAAUAGUUUGUAUUACAAGUUGUUAGGGUUAUGUGCCUUUUGCAUCAUGCUUUAUAGAGUUUUGUAUUAUAUAAUAAUAACCGAAAGACGCAGAUCUAUACAUCUUUUGUUUAGAACUGAUAUAUACUAAGUUAGUAUUUUAAAAAAAGAUGUAUAGUAGUGAAAAAUAAUUCGUUGGGUCUUAUAGCUGUUUUGUUACUUGAAUUUUCUAACUACCCUGUGAGUAAUGAUAUUUAUAGGGAGGCUAUAUUGAGUUUAUUGUUGCUUUAAAAUAGGGUUAAAAUUACCCAAUUUUAAUAAAAUUGUUAAAAAUUUUGUAGUGUUGAUUAUUAAUUAGUGAGAAUGGUAACAGGUGUAAAUACAUAGUGACUUUUAUUAUAGAAUAAGUAAUAUUAAUACAUUAAUUAAUUCUCAAUAUUUGCCCGUCUGUUUAUUAAAAACAUUUCCAAUUUAAAAUUUAAUUGGUAGUACCUGCUCUAUGUGAUAAUAAAUGGCCGCAGUAUAUUGACUGUGCAAAGGUAGCAUAAUUAAUUGCCUCAUAAUUGGAGGCUUGUUUGAAUGGUUUGACGAGGUAAAAGCGAAUAUUUAAUGUAUACUUGAAAUUUAUAAUGAGGGCACAGAAUCCUCAUAUAUUAAUUAGACGGAAAGACCCCAGGAUCUUGAUAUUUUGUCUGGGGCAGAUUUAAAUUAUUUAUUUAAAUUUUGACCCUUUAGGUUUAAUGGUUUAAGUUACCCUGGGGAUAACAGAGUAAUAAUUAAUUAGAGAUCUUAUCGAAUUAAUUGUUUGCUACCUCGAUGUUGACUUAGGUAAAGAUUUUGGCGCAGUAGUUUAAAUCUUUGGUCUGUUCGACCAGAUAUACCUCCAUGAGUUGAGUUAAGACCGGCGUAUGCCAGGUCGGUUCUUAUCUAUU
rnacentral:rRNA from 1 species